GUGUGUGUGUGUGUGUGUGUGGGACAUAGUGAGAGAGAGAGAGAGAGUAGGGAUGGGAGUGUGACUAGGUGUGGGAGAGAAUAGGUAGGAGAGAAUGGUUGCCAUGUCAACCUUUUAAUAUUUAAACAUUUAACCUGUAAACUGGCAAAAAUAAGUCACAGUGACUUUAUUGUUCACUAAAUCAAUGUUUGAUGAGUUUUAUGUUACAAAUUAAUAUUCAAGGAGUCCCAUCAUAAGGGCUAAAGUUGAGGGAUGAUGGAUAAAAUUAAGCUAAGGUGAGAGAAUCAAUUUGGGCAUCACUUCAACAUUCCAUGGAUGGGUUGGUAGGAUUCAAGCAAAAGUGAUUGCAAUGGUUUACUAAUGUCUAUGAUUUUUAAAUUACAAGUUGAAGCUGAGGGGCAGUGUUGAAAUAUAAAAAUAACUUAAAAGGAGUUUUGGGUGAAAUUUACCCUAAUUAUGCAAGCUUUUUCUUUUGGUUUUAAAAUGUUGUAUCUCAUGUCAUUUAUUCCUUCUUUGGCUAACUUUAUUAGAUGUCUAGGAUUAAUCAAAAGCAUCAUUUUGGCCUAGUUGGUACUAAAUUAGCAAGUUCCUUAUUCGGGAG
rnacentral:misc_RNA from 1 species